AUAGUAUUACCUCCAUCCCAAAUUAGUUGUCUUAGAUUUGUCUAGAUAUGGAUGUAUCUAACACAAAAACAUGUCUAGAUACAUUCGUAUCAAGACUAACCUAAGACAAUUAAUUCGGGACAGAGGGAGUUCUUC
rfam:Triticum aestivum genome assembly, contig: Triticum_aestivum_CS42_TGACv1_scaffold_641109_T_4AL-0.228746_2AS-0.145344